rnacentral:tRNA from 1 species
AUUUAUAUAGUUUAAAAAAAACAUUAUAUUUUCAGUGUAAAAAUAAAAUUAAUAAACUUUUAUAAAUU